rnacentral:lncRNA from 1 species
CCAAAGUGCUCUCUUUUUGAUUCCUUUUCUUGGUAGGCAUAGUUUCCUACUUUUAUUUGGCAAUCUGCAAAACAAAGAAAAGUAUUUAGUUUAAGUAGAAUCUAUCUAAGACUUUAGAUAAGGAAAGGGUUUUGGAAAUCUUUAUUCUACGUCCCUUUCUUUAGUCUUAGUUGUAGUUGAUACUUCUUUGGAUGGGAAGUCCCUAAAGGGGUUGCCAUCAGGAAGGGUGCAUGCUCAUGCACAGGGAGAAAGAUGAAAUGGUUUCAACGAUUCAAACAAUGGAGAGAGAAGCUUCUCAUCAUUAGGAGCAUGUGAAAGAGCAAGAGGAAGAGGUCAUGAUUAUUUUCAAAAUGAAAUGAGGCAUGAGAAAUCUAAAGUUGAAUGUUACGAUUGCCAUAAGGUCGGUCAUUUUUCUUGUCUCAAUGAUAUGGAGGAAAAAGCUAAUCUAGUUGAUGAAAAAGAAGAGCCAACCUUAUUACUGAUAGGUAUUACAGACCUAUACGAAACAACCUUAAAACAAUAUAUAUUUAUUCCAACAAUACACUAGAUUUACUCCAAAUAGAGAAAUUGAAACAAACAUACAACUUCUGGUUAUUCGAGAGAACCAGACUCUCCCAAGCACCUUGAAAGCCAAACCGUGUGAAGACAAUUUUUUUUUUAAUUUUCUUUUGUAAGACGGGGAAAUUGGAAGGCAGUAUAUCCAUUGCUUGCCAUUUCUCAACUCUCUAGAUCAAACUUUGCUCUUGAUACUACUUUGUUAGAG